UUUAACUUGGCAGAAAUAUGCGUUUGAUUUAGGGUUAAAUAAUGAUUUAUAAUCAGUUAAAGGAA
rnacentral:tRNA from 1 species